rnacentral:lncRNA from 1 species
UCCUGCAGUGCUUGAACGGCUUGAAUCCCAUCACCAUUUUGAUUGUUCUCCAUUGUUCCUAUACGAAAAAAAAAAACAUUGUUCCUAUACGAAAAACAACAUAUCAAUUCAGAAUAAAGGAUACUGCAAUUAUAAUACAUAAUUUGGAAACAUCAACACAUCAACUUGACAGAAAUACAAUCGUCACCCUAACAUCAAAACAUCAACCUUUAUAUCAUCAUAAGAACAGAAGUCACCAAGGAUGCUUGACAGAACUCUUCUGAUGAUGAAAGCCUGACUCGAUGAUUCGAUUGUGAAGGAGAAUAGAGCAUAGAGGAGGGUGCUCGCAUGGGUUGUCGAAGGCCAUAUUUAUAGCCUAUGUUAGGGUUAAAAGCCCUAAAUCCAGCCAUGCAAGCAUAUAAACACUGAACCUGAUUCUCCCAAAGCCACACCAAACGAAAAAAUCGAAGAGUUUUUUCGGAAUUAUGAUUUUCAUUGGGCAGAUUGAAGGAGAGAUUGAAGGAUUGAAGAUUGAUCGACGUUUAGGGAUGGGGAAAGACGAAAUGAAAUCAAUGCGUUCGUGAGAGAGAAAGUUUUGGGGAAAGAUUCUGUGAAUUGAAGGACAGAUGAUGCAGAUUUUGAUUCAAUUGGGGAAAUUUUUUUUUUGAAGAGUUGUUAUCCGGAUGAGGACGAGAUGGAUAGUCUGAAAUCCGACUCCGACCCAUCCCCGUUUAAUCACCACUUCCGAGUUUGCCUGAUCCCGUCCGAAAUCCAAAUCAAAUGGGUUUUUUAAUGAGUUUGACUGGACGGGUCCGAAUAAAACCCGAUUCAAUAAUUUAAAAUGCCAAGCCUAGCUGAAAUCACAAAACACCCAAAUCUGAAAUCUCAUUUCCCCUAGUUUCCCCCUUUUAUUCUCACAUUUAGGUUAAAGUGAACAAUUGAUUCGGCGACGGUGCGGGAUGAGCUCGAUCUAUCUCAGCGACUUGGUGCUCGGCGACGGAUCAGACAGUGCUGGAAAUCAAGGAUGCGGGAGAGGAGAUACAAGGUUUGGAGUAGCGGUGACAGAUGAUGGUGGAUUGAAUACAGCCAAUCAAGGAAUCGAAGAGGAGGAGACCGCCUCGGAGUCCGACACUGGAUUCGAGAGGAGCCUGCAACAAAGAAUACCGAUUUGACGAAGGAGAGCAGCAACGGAGGAUUCUAUUCAGGCCUCUGUUUCAGACUUGUUGGGUUAAGUCGCUCCAAGUCGGAGGGCCAUGGCUAUACUGAUAGCGAGGCGUGCCUGUGGAUCUCCCAAGAAGCUGUCUCUAUGAGCUGGAUCGUCGGAUUUUGAGGACCCAGGUGGAGUUGGAGGCAUAGCAGAAAACAGAGGAGGUGGCGGCGCCGACUUGGAAUCAGGGUCGGCGUACGGAACCAACUCAACAGAAAACUAGAAAAGAAGAAGAGUCUGGUGAUAUCAUUAUUAUUAUGGUAUCCUUGUUACAGAGUCGGUCAAAGUCGAUUUAUAGGUUUAACCGACCGGUCGGUCGGUUAAUAAUUGAUUAUUUAACCGAUUGGUCGGUUAUCGAUCCGCUAUUUAACGUUGUAUAUGGUCGGUUUGUUAAACCGGUUAACCAAUUUUAAUUUUCAAAUCAUUUUCUUUGACCAUUAACCGACGGUUAAUAACCAAAUCAACCUAAUCUCAGGCCUAGGUCUUGUAGCUAGGAGCGUCAGAGUUGGCCACCUCCUCUCGUUAAGAUCAAGAUUUAGGUUUCGGGACGGAACCUUUUAUAGUAAGGGACCAUUGUGGUUCAUCGAUUUCUGGUUGUCAUUGGUACUACAUUGAGCUUGUGGGUUUUAGAGUCGAGAUGUUAGGAGAGACCUGAGGCUACCACGAACGUGACCAAUUACUGAACAUGGGUGUGCUGAAGGCUGAUCACGAUCGUGACCAGUAAGUGACCAAGGGCGUGAUAAGCUUUGAGCACGGGCAUGGUGAAGAGUGUAUAUAAACUUCGACGACUUCCUCGGUUCAGACCCUUCAGAAAAGCGACCAGAUGUGGAUGUUCAUUUUAAGUUUUUGCCUUUAUCAAAGUAGAACUGUAGAUACAUUUAAGGAACCUUUUAUUUGAAUUCUUUUGUGAUGAUUGUUGGUGUGGAGCAAGGGCUCUCAAGGCUAUAUAGUUGCGUGUGAUCUACUAAACAAAAGAUGUAAUGAUGUUGAGCAUAAAGCUCUUAUGGACUAAGCAGUGGCGUGAUUCAUUGUUUAGAAUAAGAUCAGAUAGGUUUAGAUAGAUUAGAUGUUGUUAUUAUGAAUGCUCGGUCACCCACCCCUGGAUUGCGCAAUUCCUUAGGAAUGUAAUGGAAAGGUUAAGGAUGUAUAGAGUAUGUCUACAAAUGCUGCUCACACGGUUUAGGAUGGUUUGAUAGUGUUAUCACUACGAGGCUAUCCGCAUAAUAUUAGGGGUGGCUGAUGAUAGGUAGUAUGAUUACCAACCUAUAGGGUCACAUUACUAGUAUAGACUUGGGUAGCUGAUGUGUUAUCUUCUAUGAUGCUUCCCUUUUCUAUUAUCGGACACAAUUCCGCCUUGGUUGAGAUUUAGUCACUUAGUGAUUAUCAGUGGCCCCGUUUGGUUAUUGUCUUUCUGUAUGUAUAUCUGUGUUCAGUCAUAUGUAGUAGAGCUGCAAGUGGCUAUCGGCUUUUGAUGUAUUUAAGAAAAUGGAGUUAUAUGUCCUCUUUCUUUAGUGAGUUAUAUUGUAGGCUCUGAGAUCCAUGUUUUGUCCGAUUUCCAAAGGUUCAAUAAAGGUUUAUAUUAUUCUCUUAAAGCCGUGUUGAUGUGUAAUUAUUAAUAGAUAAAUGGUUAAGCGGAUUUUGUUGGAACCCGAAUAUCUUGCAUGGGUUGACCAUUGAUUCGACCGGAGUCUCCUAAGAUCGGAUUUCACAUGUACUGCCAUCAGGAACUUCAUGCUCAUCAUCAUCAUCACAUUAUGUACAUCAGAUGUCAAGCAAUAGUACAACCAUCAAGAUCUAUGAAGUAGUCCAUUUAAUAAUUUUGCUAAGUUGUUUGCAAAUUAACAAAAGGAAUCAAAUAGAAUGAAAUUUUCAUGAUCGUUGUUCAUGGUAAUGCUUACUAGUUAUAAUCUAAUCCGUUGAAGCAAAGCAGCUGUCGAUUUGACUCGACGAGAUCCUCGAAUUAAUGCUGUGAAUAGAAAAAAAACAAACAACUAUAAACCUUUCAUACUAUGAAAACAAAUCAAAAGUCUCUGUAAAACUGCACAUAUCGAUUAGCUUAGCUCAACUUUUUGAUACAUACCACCUACUACUAACUACUUUCCUUCUUAAAUUUUCUGAUAUGAAACUUUUAGAACCUUAAUUCACACAAAUUGAUUAUGAAAACCCUUGAGCACAUUGUCAGUUACCCUGAAAUAGAGAGAGAGAGAGUCAACAAGCUUGUUAAGAACAAGCUUAUUAAAGCAUGAAGAAGAGAACACUGAACGUAGAGGUAUGGAGGUUGGUAAACUAAACAAUUAACAAGCUUAUUAAAACCUGAAGAAGAGAACAAAUUCGUACAGGUUGGUACACUAAACAAUGAACGCAAAUGCAAGGCUAGCUUCAAUGAUAUGGAAAGUACAGAGAAGAGAACAAGGAUGAAUUGAUUACCUGGGCAUGGUGGUGAACAGAUCGGCAGCAGAAACCGGUAGAGAUUACACUGGUACCGACGGGGAGCUCGAAGGAGGAAGAACAAGUUUGAUUUACGGCCUUGACAUCGCUGCCGACAGAAGCUCGAAGGAGGAAGAAGAACUCGGAUUUGCACAGAUUUGGCCGCACUGGUGGUGGUUUGGAUUCAGCUGGACUAACCGGUGGUGCUUGGAUUCGUGGGUGGUGGUGGUUUGGACUCAAACGACGAUCGGUGCUCGUUUGAGGCGACGACGGUAAUGGUGGCUGGAGGUCUAAGUAUUGGUGGUGGUGGUUGCAAUAAUCGUCUGGAGAUGAUAAGGUAGAUUAAAUUAUUUAGGUUCCCGUUCUCGCAUUUGUCAUUCUAAUGGUUUUUUUGCGCUUAUUCAAAUUGAAUCCGUGCUUAUUCUCUCCCCCC